UUGUUUCUCAUUUGAAACCUCACAACUCUUAUUUCACAACUCAAUUUUGUUUUUCAUUAUUUUUCUUCCAAGCAAGCAUUCAUUUUUAUUUUUCUAUUUUUUUUUCUUUUCACAUCGUAUUCACAAAACAUAUGUUUCUCUUUUCUAAUUUUUUUUUAUUUUUCAAUGCUUGCUCGUUUAUUCAAGAGUUGUGGCACCUACCGAUUCUCAUUUUUG
rnacentral:lncRNA from 1 species